UCCUACGGGAGGCAGCAGUAGGGAAUCUUCCACAAUGGGCGAAAGCCUGAUGGAGCAACGCCGCGUGAGUGAAGAAGGUUUUCGGAUCGUAAAACUCUUUUGUAAGGGAAGAACAAGUCCAGUAGUAACUGGCUGUACCUUGACGUUCUGUACAGAAGAACCAAUUC
rnacentral:rRNA from 1 species